AGAGCGAACGCUGGCGGCAGGCCUAACACAUGCAAGUCGAACGGACUCUUCGGAGUUAGUGGCGGACGGGUGAGUAACACGUGGGAACGUGCCUUUUGGUUCGGAAUAGCUCCUGGAAACGGGUGGUAAUGCCGAAUGUGCCCUUCGGGGGAAAGAUUUAUCGCCAUUAGAGCGGCCCGCGUCUGAUUAGCUAGUUGGUGAGGUAAAGGCUCACCAAGGCGACGAUCAGUAGCUGGUCUGAGAGGAUGACCAGCCACAUUGGGACUGAGACACGGCCCAAACUCCUACGGGAGGCAGCAGUGGGGAAUCUUGCGCAAUGGGCGAAAGCCUGACGCAGCCAUGCCGCGUAGAAUGAUGAAGGUCUUAAGGA
rnacentral:rRNA from 1 species